AUGGAAACAUUUUGGUUCAUACCAAAUGAGAGAGACUCCACCCCAAAGAACUGGUUAAGACCUAGCGAUUGGCUGUGAUGAUUUGACAUCAUCAGUGAGCCAAACCAGUAUGGUUGUGGGAAGCAUGUAGGCGGAAAGUGCAGUUCAGUCUGUGACAGCUUGCAGUGCUUUAAGCAAGCCACUAUUUCCUCCUUGAACUGGACUUUACAUAGAUUUAACUUAAUGAAUGUGGUCUGCAUAGCUAGCAAAGACGGUCACGGAGCUCCUCAGCCUAAUGCUUUAAAACAAACUGGGGAAGAAUUUUUCAGAGCUAAUUUUGGUCAUUUUCCGGAAUUUUAAUCUUGAAGAUGAAAACCAUUGUCACUAUCAGUUUGGCACUUCUUUCAGCUCUGAUUGUUGCUGGGUCGAAGUUCGAGGCAACCCAUAGACAGAAUGUUACGCUACACUUCGACAUAGAUGAAGUGGAGAAAGCAGAUCCAGUGAAGAUUACUUUUAAACAAGACAACCAGGAAGAGACCAGUGUUAUUGCACAGCACCCUUGGACCUACGAGGAAACCCCUCCACCUGGAGUUUCACUGCUGGUUGAGGAAGGACGCGUGUCUGUAACCAUUCAGAAUGUUAACAGCUCCAGAUCAGGACUCUAUACAGCACAAGCCUUCUUUGGAAAGGACACGUAUGAGGUGAAUGCUACGCUUGUUGUCAACGAAGCAUCAUUUUCCUCCACUAUAACGCCACCACGCUCCUCCACCCCAAAACCUCUCAAAAACUCAUCUCAACUCCUCUGGCUAUGUGCAUUAAUUCCUCUCGUCAUCUCAGGGGGUUGUUUACGUCUGUAAAUGCCGGAGG